UUUUUAAUUGAGAUCUUGUAUGAAUGAUUGGACAAGAGAAAUACUGUCUUUGUAUUAAAACUUGAAUUUAACUUUUAAGUGAAAAGGCUUAAAUACACUAAAGGGACGAUAAGACCCUAUAAAACUUUACAUUUAUGUUAAAUUUUAUGGAAUUUGAAGAUUAUAAUUAUUAGAUUUAAUUUUUUGUUAUGUUGGGGAGACAAAAGCUAUAAUUAUAUAUAAUAACUGCUUUUAAGGGAAACAAAAAUAAGUGGAAAGAUUAGAGAUCCUUUAUUAAGAUUAUAAGAUUAAGUUACUUUAGGGAUAACAGCGUUWUUUUUUUUGAGAGUUCAUAUUGAAAAAAAAGAUUGCGACCUCGAUGUUGAAUUAAAAUAUCUUUAUAAUGCAGGUGUUAUAAAAGAAGGUCUGUUCGACCUUUAAUUUU
rnacentral:rRNA from 1 species